AGCCAAAAUGCGGCGCCUGCCUGGCAGAAAACGAGGUACUUUGUGUAUCGGAGACAUCCUAUUAUCUUUGCUUUGAUGGCGAGCCAUUUGGCGAAGAGAAAAAAUGCCCUCAAAACAGCGUUUGCAGUAAUCACGAAUCAAUCUGCGUGACUAGAUCUCAGAUCUCCGAAACAAUUAAGAACGUAUGCGCAGCUGUUAUUGACAAGAAUUGCGGCAAAUGUACCCCGGGCAACAGAUACGCCUGUGUGACUG